ACCAUGUGUGGUGUAGUUGGUAGCACCUAUUUGCUUUGUAAUUAUAUGUCCUAGGUUCAAGUCCUGGUUGGGGUA